GAUGAACGCUGGCGGCGUGCCUCAAAAAUGCAACUCGAGCGAACAGAUGAGGAACUAGAUACUCUGACGUUAAAGGAGGAAGGGUGAGCAACACAUGGAUAACCAACCUAUAAGACUGGGAUAACUUCGGGAAACCGGAGCUAAUACCGGAUAAUAUAUUGAACCGCAUGGUUCAAUAGUGAAAGACGGUUUUGCUGUCACUUAUAGAUGGAUCCGCGCCGCAUUAGCUAGUUGGUAAGGUAACGGCUUACCAAGGCAACGAUGCGUAGCCGACCUGAGAGGGUGAUCGGCCACACUGGAACUGAGACACGGUCCAGACUCCUACGGGAGGCAGCAGUAGGGAAUCUUCCGCAAUGGGCGAAAGCCUGACGGAGCAACGCCGCGUGAGUGAUGAAGGUCUUCGGAUCGUAAAACUCUGUUAUUAGGGAAUAACAAAUGUGUAAGUAACUAUGCACGUCUUGACGGUACCUAACCAGAAAGCCACGGCUAACUACGUG
rnacentral:rRNA from 1 species